CCCUGCUAUUGCGUCAUCUUGAGAACCCUUCCCUUCUCCCUCUCUCUUUGCUUUCUUCAUACUUGUCUUGUUGCUACCUAUCUCACCUCUUUCCACUUCUACAACCUCAUAUGCCUUAACUUCUACCAUCUCUGCUAGUGAACAAGCAGAGGCUCUGUUGAACUGGAAAGCCAGCCUCCUCCAUAACCAAGCCACUCACUCUGAUCAUAUUUUGCCUUCUUGGACACUCACCAAUUUUUCUUCUUCUUCCCAUUCCCACCUAGCAGCUGGAGUUAAUUGGGUUGGCAUUGUUUGCAAUCAGCUCGGCAGUGUCUCCCAUGUACAACUAUGGAAUAUGAGUUUGCAAGAGUUUGCCUAUACAAUGAGGGUCACAAAAAAGUGUGAUGUAUAUAGCUUCGGUGUGAUAACAAUAGAAACAUUAUUGGGAACCCACCCUAUUGAGCUCCUUUCAUCUUUGUCACUAUCAUUAUUGUCAUCGUUGGCAUCAUCAUCAACUUUGCUGACCAUGAUGUUGAAAGAAGUUUUAGACCAAUGGCUUCCUCCUCCACUGCCGAAGUAUAUGGAGCGAUUGUUUCUAUUGUAAAAAUUGCAUUUACAUGCUUGAAUGUUGAUCCCCAAUCUCUACCAACAAUGAAACAUGUGUCUCAGGAGCUAUCAUCUCAGAAGCCAUUUUCUCUCUAGUCAUUUCACACAAUCACAUUAGGAGAAUUAUUGCAUGGAGGAAGAGUACUUGGGUAGCUAUCAGGAAGCAAAUCCAAUUGUUGAUUUCCUUGUUAAAUCAGCAACCAGAUUGGAAACUUCAGGCCCUUUGACUUCUUGACCAGCAUCCAUCCAAGGGGACAUUAUGGUUGAUUCUCAAUGAAGACCUAGGUUCCAGGUGUAUUAACUCUUUUUUGAGUUGAUUUUUUUUCAGCCUGUGUUCUCUAGUCGGUUCCCUGUUGAUGGCCAUGCUGAAGGUGGGGAUCUGUCUAGUUGAUUUUCUUCUGUGUUUCUAGGUUUUCCCAGCUUCUUUGAAUAUUUUAUUUUCUCUUUUUAAUAUAUAUAUAUAUAUAAAAGAAGAGUACUACGGCA